AUACGGAGGGUGCAAGCGUUAUUCGGAAUCACUGGGCGUAAAGGACGCGUAGGCGGGUUGGCAAGUCAGAUGUGAAAUCCUACAGCUUAACUGUAGAACUGCAUUUGAAACUGCUAACCUAGAGUAUGGGAGGGGGAGAUGGAAUUAGUGGUGUAGGGGUAAAAUCCGUAGAUAUCACUAGGAAUACCGAAAGCGAAGGCGAUCUCCUGGAACAAUACUGACGCUAAGGCGUGAAAGCGUGGGGAGCAAACGGGAUUAGAAACCCUAGUAGUCC
rnacentral:rRNA from 1 species